rnacentral:ncRNA from 1 species
CCCCGCAUGUGCGGGAGCUCGGGCACGACCGGGCUGAGAGGGCGACUCGACGCGUCGCCGACCGCUGGAACCUGACCGGGUAAUGCCGGCGUAGGGAGCGACCAUGAGCACGUC